CGGUCAUGACCAUUGAUAAGCCUCAUACUAAAGUAUGAGGAGUACCUUGGGAGAAAUGCCUCGCCCCGGUGCGUUGAUAAGUUGGACUGGACAUUUCUUCUCAAUCUGCAACCUACCGGGAUUUAUUCACCUAGUCCUCAGGACGUCACAUCUCAUGAUUAGAACUGGCGGGACAUCAACAUUCGAAUGUUGUUGUCAACAUUGUCCCGAUAUAUAGGGAAUUACGAAUUGUGAAUUGAUCCCUAUAAAAGAAUCGAUUCACUUCAUAACUCCCAAAUCCCUUCAUAACAUUCUCAGCUUAAUUUAACGCAUUACUGUACUGUAUUAUUCGGGGACUUGAGCGUGCAUUUGUGCGCAGUGGUGAUCUUUUAGAGACUGUAUCGACUGGAAUUUAGCGACCACUGACCGUUUUAGAGACCGUACGGUCGGCGGCGGGCGUCCCCUCCCAGUCCCGAUCCUCGCCUGGGGCGAAGGCCGGAGACGCCGGAGAGGGGAGCGCGCGUCGCGAGCGCCCCCCUCCGCCGCAUUCCAUCCGUCCCAUUCACUGCCCGCUCGCGAUGUGCGGACGGCUGACGGGGGUGUCGAGUGUGUGCAGUGCGGUGUUGGUCUCGUCUGCCGUCUCCUCUUCCGACCUGAAGCAUUCGAGAAUCUCGGCUCACCAAUAAUAUGCGAUGCAAGGCUCGACGGGCGACAUCCUCGCUCAAGAUGUGUACGAGUAUAGCUGGAUGCAGACGGAACGGCGGCCUCGACAAUGGUGACAUGACGUGACGUCAACGGUGUGAUGGUGUGAUGUGACUGUGACGUGUGGAUGACUCGAAAAGUAAAGGGCUGUUGAUAUGUGUUCUCAGCUAUACAUUUUUUAUGAAUACAUAUUGAUUUUGACGUUUA